CGUAGGUGGCGAGCGUUAUCCGGAAUUACUGGGCGUAAAGCGCACGCAGGCGGUCUUUUAAGUUUGACGUGAAAGCUCUCGGCUUAACUGGGAGAGGUCGUUGAAGACUGGAAGGCUUGAGGCAAUGAGAGGGGUGUAGAAUUCCCGGUGUAGUGGUGGAAUGCGUAGAUAUCGGGGGGGAAUACCAGUGGCGAAAGCGGCACCCUAGCGUUAGCCUGACGCUCAUGUGCGAAAGCGUGGGGAGCGGACGGGAUU
rnacentral:rRNA from 1 species